ACUAGCUGAUAAUAAGAUAUCUUUUCAUUCAAUAUAAUAAAUGAUUUUGCACGAGGGGGAUCAUAAGCAACACCCAAACCUGGGAGCUGAAUAAUUUUCCCAUCCCAAUAUAAACUCACAAACACCAUCAAACCUGCAAAAUAAGUACGACAAAACAUCAUAUACUCUAAAUUCAACAUACUUAAAUAAAUAUUGCACAAAAUUAAAUACGAAAAUUCAAUACCAAGUUCUAUGCUUCGAUUAUAUAUUUAGUUUACAAUGCAUACAUAUAACUACAUCAAUGGCCUAAAUUCAAUGUUUUUCUUGUCACACAAUGUCAAACCAUGAACCCUAAAUCUAUACCUAACAAACAUAUAGCAAUGAUAAUUGAAAUUAAUGGUCAAAAAUAACACCACUUAAAAUAGGAAUUAGAUCAUCAAAAUAUCGGAUUCACUUCGAUUUUCGCCGGCUAGAGACGUUGGGCGUCGCUGAGAGUGAGCGAGGUGGAAGUGAAGUUUCUGCCGCCUGGACUGGAACAUGUAUCCAAGGCAAAGACGCGAGAGCGUCACACGUGUUUAAACAAAGACGCGAGAACGUCACACGUGUUUAAACAAAGACGCGAGAGCGUCACGCGUGUUUAUAAAAGACGCGAGAGUGUCACGCGUGUUUAUAAAAGACGCAAGAGUGUCAUGCGUGUUUAUAAAAGACGCGUGAGCCUCUCGCGUCUUUCCCAUCACUGGAAAUGUUUUUUUUCCGGGUACAAAUGGCGGGUAUCAUCUCCCAUGACGUACAUUCGCGGAAUUUACCCUUGAGAACAGUGCAACUGUGAACUUAUUGGCUGAGUGUUGCUAUUGAAAGAUUUUGUAUAAAUUGAAGCCAUGAAACUUACUAACUUGUGAAAACUUAGCAUAUUGUUCCUUAGAGUAUUUCUUUGUGAAAACUACUUAUGUUCUUGAAAUUCUGAUAUGAUUGAUGUGCCUACUUAUUCUUAUGUGUUCAUACUUCCAUGUUUCUAUCAUGUGGAGGAAAGAGUUGUUACCUCUUGAAAGUAGCUACUGCUUUUGACUCCCCGCUGGAAAAUUUUACUCACUCACUCAAAACACUACACUCUGAAAGUUGCUAUGCUGCUGGAAAAUUCGAAGUAUGUGGGAGGGGAUUUGAAGGUGGUAUGGAGGGGGUUCUUAUAGGCAGAGUGUAGUGUACUAAGGAGAAAUAAAUGGCUGAUACUGCAGUUUGUCUUCAUUUUGCAGCAUAUCCCUUUAUUUGAUCCACCUUGCAGCACUUUAACUUAAGAAAACUUGGUGUUUUGAGGAGUGGAUGUUGCAGGCAUUGCAUUCACUUGCCUUCUUGGGAGGGAAAUGUGACUUGGCUGCCACCUUGCUGUCCGAGACAUGGGCUCGCUGCCCUGGGCAUGACGGGCUGAUCGGACCCGGGUCAUGGAGGGGUGUGAUUUGGGCUUGGGUAAAAGAUGCCCAAAUUGCAAGCAAUAUAAGAUUUUAAUUUCUUAAGCUUGUUGGCCCAUUCAUGAGUAUUUUGUAAUAGUAUCUAAUAUUCUUUUUGUUCCAUUCAUAACCCACACGUAAGAUGAUCAUGUAGGUUAAUGUAUUAUUCGAGAUGUAUGCGAACACUUUAGUUCGUUAA